rnacentral:tRNA from 2 species
GGAGGGAUGGCCGAGUGGCUUAAGGCGCACGCUUGGAAAGCGUGUUUAGGGUAAUCCCCUAACGUGGGUUCGAAUCCCACUCCCUCCGCCA